rnacentral:rRNA from 1 species
GACGAACGCUGGCGGCGUGCCUAAUACAUGCAAGUAGAACGCUGAAGGAGGAGCUUGCUUCUCUGGAUGAGUUGCGAACGGGUGAGUAACGCGUAGGUAACCUGCCUGGUAGCGGGGGAUAACUAUUGGAAACGAUAGCUAAUACCGCAUAAUAGCAGUUGUUGCAUGACAACUGUUUGAAAGGUGCAAAUGCAUCACUACCAGAUGGACCUGCGUUGUAUUAGCUAGUUGGUGGGGUAAAGGCUCACCAAGGCGACGUUACAUAGCCGACCUGAGAGGGUGAUCGGCCGCACUGGGACUGAGACACGGCCCAGACUCCUACGGGAGGCAGCAGUAGGGAAUCUUCGGCAAUGGACGGAAGUCUGACCGAGCAACGCCGCGUGAGUGAAGAAGGUUUUCGGAUCGUAAAGCUCUGUUGUAAGAGAAGAACGAGUGUGAGAGUGGAAAGUUCACACUGUGACGGUAUCUUACCAGAAAGGGACGGCUAACUACGUG